AAAAAUAGGAUACUAAGCUGAUGUCAGUUCAUCUGCACAUGCUUUGAAUAGACAACUAGAGAUGCUAUCUGGGCUUCUGGCCUUGUUAAAAUUGAUUUGCUUGAACAGCCUAUUAACGGGGUCAAUCUCUAGCCUGUCAACAUCAUAAGCAUCAAUACCAUCACCAACCAUCAGUGUGUUGUGUUGGCUGAAAAAUAAUAAGCGCCCAAUGCUUGUAGAGAAAUACUCACUGAAUUUGCUAUUGUCAAUUAAUUUAUUUUUUGUGGUUUUCAUGCUGGUGACCAGGUCCCAUAGUUUUUAGAUACGAUUUUCUUUCACAGCAUGUUUUCCUUCUUUGAAUUUCUUGUUUAUUUCCUUUUUCCAAGGGUUUUUUUGUUUGUUUGUUGUUGUUGUUUUAUUUCAGUGGUCUUAAAAGCCUGUUUCAUUUUGUUGAUACAAUCCUUCAUUUUUUUUCCAAAUGCAUAAUUUGUUUCUGGGUGAGACUUUCAUUGUCUGUUUUAGGAUUAAGUUGUUGACAAAAAAAACUAAUUGGAGGUAACCUCUGUGAUCUUGUCUGUGAUAUAUUCAGUUCUCAAGGGAAGCUAUCCAUGUUUGUGCAGAGAAAACAGCUUUUUGGUGGCUUAUUUCUGUCAUCUGUCUAAUCUUUGAUGGAAUUCAGAAUUAUGUAAAGUGUCUUUUAAGGCUGUGGUUAAUCUAUGUCUGCAUGUGUGUGCAGACAUAGAUUUGGGACUUGUCAAAAGUCCUGUUCUUGGUUAUAUUAUAUUAAAUACACAUUGGUCCUGCAACUGAUGUAUCCAUAGGCCUAUAUUAUUGGCUGUGUUUUUUUAGCUAUUUGCUGAUAUAUUGGUAUUAGCAUUUAUCGCAGCUGAUUCAUAAAAAUUAAAACAGGAAAGUAGCGAGAGGAGAAACAUCCUUCAGUGUGUUAUAAAUAUUAAGAUUGCAUAGUGUAUCUACUAGCGCUCUGCAACUUCCCUGUUGGCGACAUGCGUUUGGAGCAGACACUGCACACGAACAGCAGCGAGUUGAGUAAGAGUGUAAACAAGUAAUCCACAAGAUGUUGUGACAGUAAAACAAGUUUAUUUUUAAACUGCAUUGUCAAAUUAUCUCAGUAAGAACACAUA
ensembl:lncRNA